AUUAAAACACAGAGCAGUACAUUUAGAACGAAGAACCACUCUUCCAGCCUUUCAACUGUUUUGCCACUAAAAUAAUGACAAUCGAUGGCAGCACACGUUCUGGUCAAACACAAUCUCGAGUUUCACCAACAAACACGCUUACAAUACAAAGAAUAACAAUAUUGAGUGGCAGAGGUUAUUUCGAGCACCGAUCAUUUUAGGCUGAAUGCAUAUUAGGUAAACUUCAGUAUAUGCAGGGUGUCCCAUAAGUCUCCAUACAUAGGAAAAUAAACAUUUCUUGACAUGAACCAUACGACUGCUUCCCGAACCACCCAUCAGGAUGAUUUCAAUUUAUUGCUCUUUAUUCAAAUGCAUUCUCUGGGUUAUCUGAAAUAUAAAGAAAUAAAUGUUAGAACCAUGUAUAUAUGGAAUGUAUUUUUUCUCAUAUGUAUGGAGACUUAUGGGACACCCUGUAGUUCCUCUUUUUACUUACAAAGUAACAACAAUGUUGUAAGUAUAUAUAAAUAUAUUGAUUAUUGGCUGGAGACCACUCGAGUUUGUACUCCACCAUUCCCACAGCUGUGCCCCUAAUGAGGACACGUGGUAUAAAAAAAGUGGAUGGAUAUACAGUAUAGUAUACUUAAGAAAGUGAUCCAAAAGCAUCACUGCGGUUAUAUGCAGAUAUGUUUGUUUCACAUUGAAUAACUGCUCUGUAUUCUAUGCAUAUAAAUGCAUUUUAAUUUUAAGAAUUUAUUUUGGAUUGAUAUGCUCGAAAACAAACAUAAUCUUGCGGUGUGCUGAUUGCCGUCACCACUGUGGGGUGCAAAUCUGAAAUUAUUUUAAUUUCAGGGAUUGAGCUUCAUUUAAUGUGCAACAGAGGUACUUAAAUAGGGG